AGGCAAGUAGCCUGGUUAAUCAUUCAACACGGGCAGCGUGGAACAUUUUUUUAGAGGUCAAAGCAAAGGUUCUCCCUAAGUUUCACAGAAACCAGCCUUUGGGGACCCGGAGGUGGCAGCGGCAGGCAGAUGGGGGUGGGGAGUGGCUGCUGGCGGCUCUUUCGCUCACAAAACACCUGAUCUCCCCAUGCGGCACUCGAGACCAGCGCAGUGAGAGGGUGGGGUGAGGGGUGCGAGAGCGAAAUCACGCACAGACCCCCAUCCAAAAAGCCCGUGGAAGCCAGAGUAAGGAAGGUAGAGAGAACGGGGGACGCCUAACUGCGGCGGGAGCCACCCAGGAAUGGUUUCCUCCUCUGGGGCGCCGGGACGACGCCGGAACCGGCGAGGAUCUGGAUUGGGGGCAGAGGGGUCGCCCCUCUUGCGGUAUGUCUGAUGUUGGAGGACUAAGCACAUGGCCUGGGGAGGACUCCAGUGACCUUUCAUGUCCAGAACCAGUUUGUAACUGGGCCUGGACAGGACCGUAGCCGCCGUUCAAGGGUUUGGGUGCGUGCGCCCCGGGAAAACCCGGAGUUCCAGGGGAACCAGGGCCAGAAUGGGACUUGACCAUUGCUCUCUGCCCUCGUGGUCAUUACCCACCGCCACCUCUCAGAUACCCAAAUGACGCCCUAGAGCCCAAGGCCUACAAUGGUGCCCUACUUGGCAUUGCCGCCAGAUCUUCGGAUUUAUGAGGCCGCCCACUAAUUGGUGAGGGGGAGUUUUAGUUCUCCUUGCAGUGUCUUGCAGAGAAUUUCCUCGAGGUUCCACGCGCCUCUUGAAAGCCAGAAAAACGUGUACAGACCCUGCCUCUCCAACUCGCGCCGCGGCCCAAAGGGGCUGGGCGGAUACCUGGGAAGAGCCCCAAUGUCUGAACUCUGACGUGCACACCUCCGGCUCCCUUCGGCGGGGUGAGGAUUUGGCGCCUACGACAUAACACUGGCCGAAACACCUGGAACCGUAGACGCACCCUCUCAGCCCAGCGCCCCCGCUCGCCGGAGCGCUGCAUUUUAAGGUGGACCGCAACUUUGGGGGACCCCAGAAGGUUUUCUGAGGCGGAAUUAGCCGAAGGGGAAGGAAUUGCAAAUGUAGGAAUUCUGGCACCUGUGAGCUCAGCCCACUUCACUGUGGGUCCUCACUCUUAUCCGAGCUCCGAGCAAAAGAACACUUUGCUGCUGGAUGCCCGGAGCCACGUGGGUGCACACUCCUCUAGAAGAGGGAAUUCAGAGCCAGAUCUGGAAAAACAAGAAGGAUGCACCCCGACUUCUAACCACCAUUACCCCAAGUGUGGGACUGGCGUGUGGGAAGGGGAGGGAGGAGAUGAAUUUUGUACCAUUACUGACUCUUGAGUUUUGUAUUUUUCAAGUUGUAUUAACUCUUUUAACUUAGAAAGCUAGUAAAACAUUUAAAAAGAAAUAUAGAGAUUAGAAAUCCUUUAAGAACGAUACAGAAAGUACAAAUUAAUAGACAAAGCCUAUGUCUUUCAUUCUGUGUCAAAAUAAUUAAUCGUGAGUCCAUGUUCCUUGGUUUAAAUAAAGAUAUCUCUAUGCUGUUUUUCUGAUUAACUGCUGUGAUGGGACCAGACUGACAUCUGAAGAUUUUUCUGUGCCAUCAGAUUGAUAUAUUGUUUCUUAGCACGUUUCUUCUCUGUAAAUGCAACCAGUAACCACAGACUUAGUUUCAGGGACUGCCUGCCAGGAAGUUUUUAGUAAAAGAACUGCGACAGUGUCAGUUGGGAACCAACAGGAAAUUAAGCUGUGUCCUUUGCAGCUGCCCAGCCCCUGAAAUUUAAAAAUAAGGGCAUUCUCUCCAUCCUGUCAUUAAUUAAUACAGUUGGGAGUAUCUCUGUAACCAUUAAAACAUUGUUCCUUGGGGAGAAUUACUCAGUGCUAAGUUCCACACCCACGUGGCUGUAGUUUUUUUUUUUCUUGGGUUGGGUCCUGGGUCCAUCAUCCAUAGGUAAUGAUGUAUUAUUUAUUUAUUUAACAAAUAUGUGUUGGCCACCUUCUAGGUGCAUGGCAUAGUGCACGGUGCCAGGCACUGGAGUGGUGACUGUGGCAAGCACUUCCCUCUCAGAGCUCACAGUCUAGAUAGAGACAGAGAGUUUAACAAUGAAGUACAUUAUUGGGGUGCCUGGGUGGGUCAGUCAGUUAAGCAUUCAGCGCUUGAUUUCAGUUCAUGUCAUGAUCUCAGUUUGUGAGUUCCAGCCCUGCAUCAGGCUCUGUGCUGACAGCGUGGAUCCUGCUUGGGAUUCUCUGCCUCCUUCUCUAUCUGUCCUUCUCCCCCACUCACGAGCUCACUCUCUCUCAAACUAAAUGAAUAAACAUGGAAAAAACACAAUCAAAUGCACUAUCAAUUAUAUAAUUGCAAUUUGAUAUGGGCCACAGGAAGUACAAGGUGAUGAGACCAUUUAAGGAGUCCAAGAGGAGGUGACAUUUGAGUUGAGCUCUGAAGGGUGAGCAGGCAAAGAGGACAGUGGGACAGAGUUCUUGGCUGGUUUAGACUACAAAGGGGAUGUGGUUGAGGGAGAAGUUGGAGAGGUAGGCAGAGGCUUGGUUUUAUAGGGCCUAGAAUACCAUUUUCAGUAAGAUCACUCUGAUCCAGUGUGAAGAAGAAAUAGGGAAGAGGGAGAAAGGGAGCUGAGGGAUAGUUAGGAGCCUGUUGCUCAAAUACAAAUGAAAGGGGCCGUUUAUCUAAGCGGUAAAGCAAAUAGAGAGAAGUAGAUACCAACAAAGUUUGGUGAUUGCAUAACUAGGGAGGACUCAAAGAAAACUCCCAGUUCUCUGCUUCUCCAACCAGAUGGACAGUGGUGCUGUUUUCUUAGUUGGAGGGCCUUCAGGGAAGAGGAUUCACAACAUUCACAUUUGGUCAAGGGGGGUCUGAGGUGCCUGUGAGAUGUCCAAGUGGAGAUGUUGAGUAGGUGGUUGGUUGCAGGAUCUGGUGUUCUAAGGAGAGGCUGGAGCUGAAAUAGUAAGUGUAAAAUUGUUAUACAGCCAGGAGAAUGAGGUGGUCUCCUAAGAGAAUACAGAGUUUGUCCAGAAGAAGACCAAGGACUGAGCCCUGACGAACUCUUAUCUAAAAGCUGGAUUGGGGCGCAUUGGUGGCUCGUCGAUUAAGCAUCCAACUUUGGCUCAGGUCAUAGUCUUGCUUUCUGUGAGUUUAAGCCCCACAUUGGGCUCUGUGCUGACGGCUCAGAGCUUAGAGCCUGCUUCAGAUUCUGUCUCUCUUUCUCUGUCUCUCUCUGCGCCUCCCCCACUUGCACCCUCAAGCUCUCAUGCUCUCUCUCUCUCAAAAAUAAAUAAAC
ensembl:lncRNA